GACGAACGCUGGCGGCGUGCUUAACACAUGCAAGUCGAGCGAACCUUCGGGUUAGCGGCGAACGGGUGAGUAACACGUGGGCAACCUGCCCCGAGCUCUGGGAUAACCCCGGGAAACCGGGGCUAAUACCGGAUAUGACAUCGAGAGACAUCUGUCGAUGUGGAAAGUUUUCGGCUCGGGAUGGGCCCGCGGCCUAUCAGCUUGUUGGUGGGGUAACGGCCUACCAAGGCGACGACGGGUAGCCGGCCUGAGAAGGCGACCGGCCACACUGGGACUGAGACACGGCCCAGACUCCUACGGGAGGCAGCAGUGGGGAAUAUUGCGCAAUGGGCGAAAGCCUGACGCAGCGACGCCGCGUGAGGGAUGAAGGCCUUCGGUUGU
rnacentral:rRNA from 1 species